AGUUUCAGUCUGAUGGAGGCAAACAAGAAGAUAAAGAGAAAACGGAAGUUAUCCUUAGCUGUUUGCUUAGCAUUACUGACCAGGUACUACUUCCAUCUCUUUCGUUGAUGGACUGCAAUGCUUGUAUUUCUGAGGAACUAUGGGGAAUGUUUAAAACAUUUCCAUAUCAGCAUAGAUAUCAUCUGUAUGGCCAAUGGAAGAAUGAAACUUAUAACA